rfam:Desulfovibrio sp. FW1012B chromosome, whole genome shotgun sequence.
GGGGGCGCCCUGGUUUCGACGGGGAUAGUGAAGCCCUGGUUGCAGGCCGAGGUGCCGCGAGGCCUCGUAAAACACGCGGCAACUGGUUAACUGCCAACGACUACGAUUACGCCCUGGCUGCUUAAAUAGACAGCCAGCGUCCCCUCGGUCGACGCCUGAUACGCUGAACCGGGAUGCCAAACCCCCAUCAGGCUGGUGCAAACCCUCGUCCGUUGGGGUGCGCGCGAGACAAUAGACGGACUGGCCGGAGGCGGCCCGGCCGGAAGGCCUGCCCGAGGCGAGAUUGUUUUUCGGUCUAAGCCUGUAGACGCUAGGAGUGGAGCAUUCUCGGACGGGGGUUCGAUUCCCCCCGCCUCCACCA